rnacentral:rRNA from 1 species
GUGCCAGCCGCCGCGGUAAUACAGAGGGUGCAAGCGUUAAUCGGAAUUACUGGGCGUAAAGCGCGCGUAGGCGGCUUGAUAAGAUGGGUGUGAAAUCCCCGGGCUUAACCUGGGAACUGCAUCCAUAACUGUCUGGCUAGAGUACAGUAGAGGGUGUUGGAAUUUCCUGUGUAGCGGUGAAAUGCGUAGAUAUAGGAAGGAACACCAGUGGCGAAGGCGACCACCUGGACUGAUACUGACGCUGAGGUGCGAAAGCGUGGGGAGCAAACAGGAUUAGAAACCCCGGUAGUCC